rnacentral:rRNA from 1 species
UUUUUAGCGGCGGACGGGUGAGUAACGUGUGGGCAACCUACCUUUUACUGUGGAAUAAUCGUUGGAAACGACGACUAAUACCGCAUACGAUUCUUGGAAGGCAUCUUCUAAGAAAGAAAGGAGUAAUUCGGUAAAAGAUGGGCCCGCAUCUGAUUAGCUAGUUGGUGAGAUAAUAGCCCACCAAGGCAACGAUCAGUAGCCGACCUGAGAGGGUGACCGGCCACAUUGGGACUGAGACACGGCCCAAACUCCUACGGGAGGCAGCAG